GGGCCUGUAGUCUAACGGCUAGGAUGGCUGCCUUACACGCAGCAGAAAAGAGUUCAAUUCUCUUCGGGCCCA
rnacentral:tRNA from 1 species